rnacentral:rRNA from 1 species
CUGGCGGCGUGCCUAACACAUGCAAGUCGAGCGAGGAGAUCCUUCGGGAUGAUCCUAGCGGCGGACGGGUGAGUAACACGUGGGCAACCUGCCUCAUAGAGAGGAAUAGCCUUCCGAAAGGGAGAUUAAUACCUCAUAACAUUGCAGUUUCGCAUGGAACAGCAAUUAAAGGAGUAAUCCGCUAUGAGAUGGGCCCGCGGCGCAUUAGCUAGUUGGUGAGGUAACGGCUCACCAAGGCGACGAUGCGUAGCCGACCUGAGAGGGUGAUCGGCCACAUUGGGACUGAGACACGGCCCAGACUCCUACGGGAGGCAGCAGUGGGGAAUAUUGCACAAUGGGGGAAACCCUGAUGCAAGCAACGCCGCGUGAGUGAUGACGGCCUUCGGGUUGUAAAGCUCUGUCUUCAGGGACGAUAAUGACGGUACCUGAGGAGGAAGCCACGGCUAACUACGUGCCAGCCGCAGC